CUUAAUGUGACUUACCUGUCAUGAUAGCUAUGUUCCUUCUCCAUUAUCAGAGGCAGUGCGUUCCUGAAUACCAAGUGAGGAAGAGUACAGUUCCUGCUUGCAGGCUUCCCAUAGGUAGCCGGUUGGCCACUGUGAGAACAGGAUGCUGGACUAUACGGGCUUGAUUCAUCAGAGCUCUUUUUAUGUUUUAACUUGUCAGAUAUGGGAAGUCUUUUGGCACCAUUAGUUUAUCAUGUACUGAAUUCCCAGUAGGGUGGAACAAGAACCUCAUGGUUCACCCUUCAUUAUUCAUCUGCUAAUGGGACAGAAGAGGAGAUAAGCAAACAAAAACAAGGUUUUGAAGUUCCAUCUUGCCACAUGAGAACUCCGGAGCGCAACCUGCUGGGAAUUUUCAUCAGAGUAUUUGUGUGCCAUAGAACGAAAGGACAUGGACUCUGUACUCUUCUGCAAGUCCAUGCCAGUCUGAGGUGUUUUUAAUGUGUUUCAUGCCUGCCUUAUCAUUGCACAAUUACUUUUGUGGUGUCA